AGUCAAUGAUGACAUCAAAGUUUCAAUCCUAGAGAAAAGAGCAAGAAGGAAGUACCAUCAACAGCACACAGAAACAUGGGUGAAGGAACAAAUCAGCAGCGGCAGCUAAAUACGGAAUGUCUACUCUGAGCCUCUGGCACUAGCAGGAAAUCUAACCAAACAACAGAACCCCAAGGGGAGGUGGAGGUGGAGGGAGGCCAGGACCAGAGAAUGAUCAUGGAAGUGACAGAUUACCGUGGUGGGUAAGAAUGUCAGCUGAGUUCAAAACAGAGCUUCCUUACUUCACAGCUGUGUGAUCACAGGUGUGUUUCCGAACCAGUCUACUGCCUCGGUCUCCCCACCAGUGAAAUGAAGAAUUCGAAAAAGAAACUCAUUGAAUCCUUGCUGAAAAUGAAGUAGAGAACAGCAACUGAGCACACAGCCUCAGAGUGUCCUACUGAGGUGUGUAUAGUUAUAGGAGACAAGGAGGACGAGAGAGUGACAAAGGGCAGAGGAAACUUCUGAGAGUGACACAUUCAUCGUCUUGAUUGUGGUGACGGUUUCACGGGUGUAUACAUAUGUCAAAACUCAUCAAACUGUAAGCUUUAAAUAAUGCGGCUUAUUGUAUAUCAAUUAUACCUUAAUAAAGUUGUUUAAAAGUAAGUAUUAAAGAAAAAUAAACCUAAGACACUGCAAAGAAGACCAGGCUUGGGUGAGGGUCUUUGGAGAGUUUGGCAACAUAAGCAUCCACUAAGGGGAUAGCAGGAAAAAGCAUGGCAGGGGAGGGUGGGAUGAAAAAGAGAUAAGAAAACAUAUCUGUGUUUUGUUUUUUUUUUUAGUACUUAGAGCAACACUAUUCUUAAUUCUGCCUAGAGCUUCACUUUGCUAUUCCGAGCACCUAGUGAAUUCUGUUUUUAUUAGGAAAAACCAGAAAGAGUGCUAUCCUUGAUACAGAUUCUCAGGUCACAGAAUUCAGCUCCUCUGGCAUUUAAACUGGCCUAGGAUAUGUAGACCACCACAAAAAGACAGAAUGUCACAGCACCUUAGUUUUCCAAGGAUUACUCUUAAAAGAUUUUGCUUUAACUAUCUCCACUCUCACAGACUCAGAGCCAGAAAAGCCUGAUGUUUUCCUUCUAUCUCAUUUACCACAUUGCACUGAUUCUAAAACACACAUUUUGUUUGCAUUUUAACACCCCUAAAAUCAGGAAGCAUUUUACAGUUUAUAGCAUCUUUUCAUCUCUGUCACCAGGGGGCAGUCGUGACAUAGCUGUCUGCCUCUGGGUACACAGCUCAAAUGUCUAACUGUGGUCACUUCAACGGUGCUAUAUGCAUUGCUGGAACUACCUGCAUGCAGUCUAACUUGAAUUUUCAAAUGUUUUCAAAAACUACACAAGCCUUAAACAACAAGGUCCUACUGUAUAGCACAAGGAACUAUAUUUAAUAUCCUGUAAUAAAUUGUAAUU